CUUCCGGCGACAGUGCCCCGUCCAGUGCUUCCGGCGACGGCCCACAGUCCGGAACCGACAGAGACGGCCCGCGGUCCGGAACCGACAGAGACGGCCCGCAGUCCGGAACCGACAGAGACGGCCCGCAGUCUGGAACCGACAGACACGCCCGCCGGUCCGGCGCAGCCAGAGUCGCCCGCCAAUCCGGCACAGCCAGAGUCGUCCGGCGCAGCCAGAGUCGGCCCGAGGUCUCCAGAGAUGCGCUACAGCCCUAAGCCUUCAGCGGGGGUGGACAGAACUACCAUGAUGUCAUUUCCUGUUGUCAUUUCCCAGAGUGCCAAAGAUAUUAUGACAUGUGGGUCCACUGACGAUACAUAUCACAGCCUGGUACAGCAACUGCACCGCCCUCAACCGCAAGGCUCUCCAGAGGGUAGUGAGGUCUGCACAACGCAUCACCGGGGGCAAACUACCUGCCCUCCAGGACACCUACAGCACCCGAUGUCACAGGAAAUCCAAAAAGAUCAUCAAGGACAACAACCACCCGAGCCACUGCCUGUUCA
rnacentral:lncRNA from 1 species